GUGCCAGCCGCCGCGGUAAUACGGAGGGUGCAAGCGUUGUCCGGAAUCAUUGGGUGUAAAGGGUGCGUAGGCGGGAGCCUAAGUCUGUGGUGAAAUCUUGCCGCUUAACGGUAAAAUUGCCAUGGAUACUGGGUUUCUUGAGUACAGAAGAGGUCGGUGGAAUUCGUAGUGUAGCGGUGAAAUGCAUAGAUAUUACGAAGAACACCAGUGGCGAAGGCGGCCGACUGGACUGUAACUGACGCUGAGGCACGAAAGCGUGGGGAGCGAACAGGAUUAGAAACCCCAGUAGUCC
rnacentral:rRNA from 1 species